AGGGCUCAUGGCGGAUACCUUGGCACACAGAGGCGAUGAAGGACGUGGUUACCUGCGAUAUGUCUCGGGGAGCUGGAUACACGCUUUGAUCCGGGAAUUUCCGAAUGGGGCAACCCUUAGAACGGCCAGCUGAAUACAUAGGCUGGCGCGAGCCAACCCAGCGAACUGAAACAUCUUAGUAGCUGGAGGAAAGGAAAGUAAAAACGACUCCCUAAGUAGCGGCGAGCGAACGGGGAUCAGCCCAAACCGAUGGUUUCGAUCAUCGGGGUUGUGGGACAGCAAUGUGGAUUUAACAAACCUAGAAGAAGCGUUUGAAUGGCGCGCCAUAGAGGGUGAAAGCCCCGUAAUCGAAAGGAGCGUUAACCUAGCUGUAUCCCGAGUAGCACGGAGCACGUGGAAUUCCGUGUGAAUCUACGAGGACCACCUCGUAAGGCUAAGUACUCCUGUGUGACCGAUAGUGCAACAGUACCGUGAGGGAAAGGUGAAAAGAACCCCGGGAGGGGAGUGAAAUAGAACAUGAAACCAUGAGCCUACAAGCAAUGGGAGCCCGACUUAUCGGGUGACCGUGUGCCUGUUGAAGAAUGAGCCGGCGACUUAUAGGCACUGGCAGGUUAAACCGGGAAUGGUGGAGCCAUAGCGAAAGCGAGUCUGAAUAGGGCGUUUGUCAGUGUUUAUAGACCCGAACCCUGGUGAUCUAACCAUGGCCAGGAUGAAGCUUGGGUGAUACCAAGUGGAGGUCCCAACCGACUGACGUUGAAAAGUCACCGGAUGAGCUGUGGUUAGGGGUGAAAUGCCAAUCGAACCAGGAGCUAGCUGGUUCUCCCCGAAAUACGUUGAGGCGUAGCGUCUAGUGCUCCAGCAGGGGGGUAAAGCGACCAUUUCGGUGCGGGCUGCGAAAGCGGUACCAAAUCGUGAUGAACUCUGAAUACCCUGUGUGUAACUAGGCAGUCAGACUGUGGGGGAUAAGCUCCAUAGUCGAAAGGGAAACAGCCCAGACCGCCAGCUAAGGUCCCAAAAUCAACACUAAGUGAUAAAGGAGGUGGGAUUGCCCAGACAACCAGGAGGUUUGCUUAGAAGCAGCCAUCCUCAAAGGAGUGCGUAAUAGCUCACUGGUCGAGCGAUCCUGCGCCGAAAAUGAACGGGGCUAAGUGUUGUACCGAAGCUGCGGAUUUAUUUAUAAAUGGUAGGGGAGCGUUCUAUGUGGGGUGAAGCGUUAGCGUAAGCGGGCGUGGACUGCAUAGAAGUGAGAAUGUCGGCUUGAGUAGCGAAAACAUGGGUGAGAAUCCCAUGCCCCGAAACCCUAAGGGUUCCUCCGGCAGGCUCGUCCGCGGAGGGUUAGUCUGGUCCUAAGGUCAGGCCGAAAGGCGUAGUCGAUGGAUAACAGGUCAAUAUUCCUGUACCAAUUAUGUUUUGGGAAGGGGGACGGAGAAGGCUAGCCAAUCCAGAUGUUGGUUACUGGUUCAAGCGUUCGAGGCUUUGAGGAACGGAGAAAACGUUCUGAGCUGAGGCGUGAGUACGAGCUGCUACGGCAGCGAAGUUGGUGACGUCAUGCUUCCAAGAAAAUCCCUAUACCCGUUAAGACAUAAUUGCCAGUACCCGAAACCGACACAGGUGGGGUGGUAGAGAAUACCGAGGGGCGCGAGAUAACUCUCUCUAAGGAACUCGGCAAAAUGGUCCCGUAACUUCGGGAGAAGGGAUGCCAGCGAGAGCUGGUCGCAGUGAAGAGGCCCAGGCGACUGUUUACCAAAAACACAGGUCUCCGCUAAGUCGCAAGACGAUGUAUGGGGGCUGACACCUGCCCAGUGCCGGAAGGUUAAGGAAGCUGGUUAGCGUAUGCGAAGCUAGUGACUGAAGCCCCGGUGAACGGCGGCCGUAACUAUAACGGUCCUAAGGUAGCGAAAUUCCUUGUCGGGUAAGUUCCGACCCGCACGAAAGGUGUAACGAUCUGGGCGCUGU
rnacentral:rRNA from 1 species